rnacentral:lncRNA from 1 species
ACCGACCAUAUGUCAAUAGAAUCUAUGCGUGACCAUCGACUUGUAGUUCUGUUAUGUCGAUAGUCUAAGUCGUCCACUGUCGAUCGGUAGUAGUCGAAUCGUUAGUCGAUCAACCGACAAUAAAUCGAUAAAGUUCACUCAGUUGAUUGAUGAAGAAUCAGAAUCACAUAUGUUGGGUAUAAAAUACCCGCAGCCGAAAUCCACAGC